rnacentral:rRNA from 1 species
AUGUCGGGGACGGUGGUGAGCAUGGCGAGGUCGAUGCUGAUGAGCGCCAUCAGCGUGGCUGCCUCUGCCGCUGCUGCUGAGAUGAGCCUCCUCAUUGGCGUCCACAAAGACAUCUGGUUCAUCAGAGACGAGCUAGAGACCAUGCAUGCAUUCCUUUUGUCCAUAGAAGCAACGAAGAACAAAAGCAUGGUACUGCAGGUGUGGGCUAAGCAAGUAAGGGAUCUUUCCUAUGGUAUUGAGGAUUGUCUUGAUGAAUUUAUGGUGCAUGUGGAAAGCCAGAGCCGGUCUCGGCAGAUGUGUAAGAUGAAAGACCGCCAUCGGAUUGCCAACCAAAUCCGUGAUCUCAAAGCAAGAGUUGAAGAAGUGAGCAACAGGAACACAUGCUAUAACUUAAUCACAGUUGAUGCCUCCAGCAACAUUGAUGGGGUGAAUUCCUACAUGGAAGAUAUUCGCAACCACUCAGCUAGCAACAUUGACGAGGCAGAGCUUGUGGGAUUUGCUAAGCCUAAAGAGGAGUUGAUUAAGAUGGUGGAUGUCGACUCCAGAGAUGGUCUUUGCAAGGUGAUAUGUGUUGUUGGCAUGGGUGGUUUAGGAAAGACCACUCUUGCAAGGAAGGCAUAUGAAAGUAAGGAAGAUACUGUUAAUAAUUUUUCUUGUUGUGCCUGGGUCACAGUCUCACAGUCAUUUUCCAAGAUAGAUAUGCUCAAGGACAUGAUUAGGCAGCUAUUGGGUGCUGAUUCAUUGAAGAUUUUCUUGAAGGAACUUGAAGGGAGGGCGGUGCAAGUAGACAAUCUUGCUAGCUACCUGAGAGAAAAGCUAGUGGAGAAGAGGUACUUCAUUGUUCUUGAUGAUCUGUGGACAAUAGAUUCUUGGAAGUGGAUCAAAGAUAUUGCAUUUCCUAGUAGAAACAAUAAAGGUAGCCGGAUAAUAGUAACAACACGAGAUGAUGGCUUGGCUAAGGAGUGCAGAUCUGAAUCUCUUGUCUAUCACCUUAAGUACUUGCAAACAAAUGAUGCCACAAAAUUGCUACUAAUAAAGAGUAGGAAAACACAUCAAAACAUGGAUAAUGAUAAGGAAAUGAAGACCAUGGUUGACAAAAUAGUAAAGAAGUGUGGUGGUCUACCGCUGGCUGUACUCACUAUAGGAGGCAUGCUUGCCACCAAAAAAGUAACAGAGUGGGAGAGUAUCUAUAAACAAAUCCCCUUAGAGCUUGAGGUCAAUCCAAGCCUUGAAGCAAUGAGGAGGAUUGUUACUCUGAGCUACAACCACUUGCCAUCUCAUCUCAAGUCAUGUUUUUUGUAUCUAAGCAUCUUUCCUGAGGAUUCUGAAAUCAAAAGGAGACGUUUGGUGGAGAGAUGGAUAGCCGAGGGGUUUGUUAGAGCGAGGGCUGGGGUGAGCAUUGAGAAUGUGGGAAAUGGUUACUUUAAUGAGCUUGUCAACCGUAGCAUGAUUCAAUCUUCAAAAAAUGUAACUAGUGCCGCAAAAGAGACAUUUCGCCAUCUAGCACACCAUGGUAGCAAGUUCCAGAAUAUUGGCAUGGAUUGGGGCCAUGUUCGGUCAUUGACCAUAUUUAGUGACAGACCAUUGGAAUCUUCAAUAUUUUCACCCGAGGCAAGAAUGCUCAGAAUCUUGGAUCUAGGGAAUGCACAAUUUCGAGUCACACAAGAGGAUGUCAAUAACAUAGGAUUGUUGUGCCACUUAAAGUAUGUGAAUUUUUCUAAUCCUAAAAGGUAUUCAUAUAUUUAUAAACUCCCAAGGUCCAUAGGAAAAUUACAGGGCUUGCGUACUUUGGACAUAAGAGGUAGUUAUAUUACAGAACUACCAACUGAGAUUAGUAAGCUCAAGAGCCUGCACAGUCUCCGUUGUACCAGAAAUAGUUCCUACGAAUACUUUGACCUGGAUGACCCCAAGGAAUGUUUGCUGACCACAUUUUGUCUGCCAGUGCUGUUCACACCUUUGGCUGAUCGUAUUGACGGCACUGAGGUAGUUGCUGAGCUCCACAUGGCAUGGUCUAGCCGUUGGUCCGGGUCAAUAGGUGUGAGGGUGCCAAAAGGAAUCGGCAACCUAAAAGAGCUACAAAUACUAGAGACCGUGGACGUCAGACGAACUAGUCGCAAAGCAAUUAAAGAGCUUGGUGAGCUUGUGCAACUGAGAAAACUAAGCUUGGCAAUGCAGGGGGCCACCAAGCAAAAAUGCAAGGUACUUUGUGAUGCCAUUCAGAAGCUCAGUUUCCUCCGCUAUCUUGUUGUGGUAAGUGACUCAAAUGGAAAAAUCGAGUGGCUGCACUCCGCUUCCUCUAUUCCUAUCCUGCUGAGAACCCUGGGCUUGUGUGGAUGCCUUGUAGAGAUUCCUGGCUGGUUUGUGAAUCUGUUGCAUUUGGUCAAGCUUUACUUACUGCGGAGCCAAAUAAAGGAAGACGGUAAAUUCAUGGAAAUACUAGGCGCACUGCCAAGCCUCGUUCACCUUUAUCUUGGAGUUGGCUCUUAUAUAGGGGGGAAGUUAGUGUUCAAAAUGGGAGCAUUCGCAAAUCUCAAGAAACUUGAUAUUUGGAGUCUGGAGCACCUGAGAGAGUUGAUAUUCGAGGAGGGAACCUCGCCCCAGUUAGAAAGGAUAGAAAUCGACUACUGCCGAUUGAAAUCAGGGAUCAUUGGUAUCGAGCACCUUGCAAGCCUCAAGGAGAUUUCACUUGGCUGGGAUGGUAAAGUGGCGAGGCUUGGUAUGCUGCAACAUAAAGUGGAGACACACCCCAACCGUCCUGUCCUGCGACUCAAGAUGGACCGGAGCCACCACGACCUGGGCGACGUCGUCCAAGGAUCUACUGCUUCAGUACAAGUGGAGGAAGCAACAGUGGAGGAGGAAUCAUCUCUCCAUGCUGACCCUGCAGCAGCGGGAGAGAGCUCCUCCUGGCAGGUGGUGGCCGUGACGAAGUGGAGCAACAGUUCAGUCUGGGUACCUCUCAUGAUGUUUGUCUUUCUAACAGGAGGUGUUGCUCGUUUCCAUUUGAAGGCAACGGUGAUGAUGAAGACGAUGAUAACUUUUGUUGCUGCUCCAUCCAUUCUUUACCAUGUUGGUACUGCUCAAACCCCCUUUGAUUUUGUUUAG